rnacentral:rRNA from 1 species
UGAUCUGCUCUGGGUAAGUCGGGGCCUAAGCACAGGUCGCAAGACGUAAGCGAUGGAUAACAGGUUUAGAUUCCUGUACCACGCAUUAUCAGAACUGUAGGGACGCAUGUGGAAAGCACGAGCCGGGAAUGGAAAAACCGGUACAAGCGGGGUAGGUGUACAAUAGGCAAAUCCGUUGUAUAAUCCGAAGACGUGAUGUGGAGCGAAAUAAAGUAGCAAAGCGUGUGAGCCAUGUGCCGAGAAAAGCUGCUAUUGUGUAAUGCGUGCCCGUACCGUAAACCGACACAGGUGGAUGAGGAGAGAAUCCUAAGGCCGACGGAAGAAGCAUUGUUAAGGAAUUCGGCAAAAUGACCCCGUAACUUCGGGAGAAGGGGUGCCUGCGAGAGCAGGCCGCAGAGAAUAGGCUCAAGCAACUGUUUAGCAAAAACACAGGUCUAUGCGAAACCGAAAGGUGAAGUAUAUGGGCUGACGCCUGCCCGGUGCUGGAAGGUUAAGAGGAGAGGUUAGCUUCGGCGAAGCUUUGAAUUUAAGCCCCAGUAAACGGCGGCCGUAACUAUAACGGUCCUAAGGUAGCGAAAUUCCUUGUCGGGUAAGUUCCGACCCGCACGAAAGGCGUAAUGAUUUGAGCACUGUCUCGACAAUGCAUCCGGUGAAAUUGAAGUACCAGUGAAGAUGCUGGUUACCCGCGCCAGGACGGAAAGACCCCAUGGAGCUUUACUCCAGUUUGAUACUGGGAUUCGGUACUGCAUGUACAGGAUAGGUGGGAGACGGAGAAGGAUGGACGCCAGUCUGUCCGGAGUCGCUGUUGGGAUACCACCCCUGUAGUACUGGGUUUCUAACCAGUUGCCAUGAACUGGCAAUGGGACAAUGUCAGGCGGGGAGUUUGACUGGGGCGGUCGCCUCCGAAAGGGUAUCGGAGGCGCUCAAAGGUUCCCUCAGAAUGGUUGGAAACCAUUUGAAGAGUGCAAAGGCAGAAGGGAGCUUGACUGCGACACCGACGGGUGGAGCAGGUACGAAAGUAGGACUUAGUGAUCCGGUGGUAUAAAGUGGGAUUGCCAUCGCUCAACGGAUAAAAGCUACCCUGGGGAUAACAGGCUUAUCACUCCCAAGAGUUCACAUCGACGGAGUGGUUUGGCACCUCGAUGUCGGCUCAUCGCAUCCUGGGGCUGUAGCAGGUCCCAAGGGUUGGGCUGUUCGCCCAUUAAAGCGGUACGCGAGCUGGGUUCAGAACGUCGUGAGACAGUUCGGUCCCUAUCCGGCGCGGGCGGAGGAUAUUUGAGAGGAGCUGUCCUUAGUACGAGAGGACCGGGAUGGACGGACCACUGGUGUAUCUGUUGUCGACCAACGGCAUGGCAGAGUAGCCAAGUCUGGAAGGGAUAAACGCUGAAGGCAUCUAAGCGUGAAGCCCCCCUCAAGAUGAGAUAUCCCUCCUUCGGGAGUAAGACCCCUUGAAGACUACAAGGUAGAUAGGGCAGAGGUGGAAGCAUGGCAACAUGUGGAGCUGACUGUUACUAAUAGGUCGAGGGCUUAAUCUG